GGUGAUCCCCAACAUCGGCAGAGCCGCAGCCCCACACCAACUCGCCCAGGCCCAGCUAAAGAAACAACGAAGGGAAGGCUCAGACAUUAUCCUCUCCGCUUGACCCUGCAUCUGAGAAACCUAGACCGCCGCCGCUCCCAUUUCCGCUCACGCUCCUCCACCUCCGCCUACCUGCUUCUGCCUCCCCACGCCCAGGAGAUCCCCUCCACGUGGCGCCGCUGCCUGCGUCCAAGCCCACGCAGCCUCCCUCGAGCUCCUCUGCCUCCGCCUCCCUCAAGCUCCUCCGGACCCUAACCCUAGGCGCUGCCUCAGCACCGGCUCCGUGCUUGCCGACCGGAUCCACGUCGGAACCGCCUUCUCCGACCUCGGUAUUGGGUGGAUCUGCCCCGACGCCGCUGCAUCCUCCUUCUUGACCUCGGGCUGGUGCUGCUCAUCCCAGACCUCGGGCCGGUGCACUCCUCCCCGAGCUCAUGCCAGCGCUACAGCUCUCUGACCCCAAGCCUUCCCCGCAUCGGCACAACUACACCAAGCCCCCCGCUUCCACGCUGAGGGCUGCAAGGUACAAAGAUACAACAGAAUGGUGAAUGGAGAGCUGGUGAUCUUCAUGUUGCUAAAGCUCAACAUCAAGGUGAUAAUGUCAUGCAUAGAGUUAGAAUUUAAAGCAACAUGGCAUAUUAAGUUGCCGAGUUAACUUUAGUUUUAUUAAUUGAGUUAUGUAUACAUAGAGUUAGAAAUUAAAGCAACAUGUCAUAUUAAGUUCGCUUCAAUAAUGUAUAUUUAGUACAGUUAUCAUUUGCUCGGUUUAUGCCAUAUCUUGAUGGAUGGCUUGUAAUCUUUAUGUAUAAGUAAUUUUAGUGGACAUGUAUAUGGAACAACAAUUGGUUGAUGGCUUGUAAUCUUUAUGUAUAAGUGAUUUUAAUGGACAUGUAUAUGGAACUACAAUUGGAUCUGAUGGAGCUAAGAAAUUGUGAUUACAGAUGA